AUUGAACGCUGGCGGCAGGCCUAACACAUGCAAGUCGAGCGGAUGAAGGGAGCUUGCUCCUGGAUUCAGCGGCGGACGGGUGAGUAAUGCCUAGGAAUCUGCCUGGUAGUGGGGGAUAACGUCCGGAAACGGGCGCUAAUACCGCAUACGUCCUGCGGGAGAAAGUGGGUGAUCUUCGGACCUCACGCUCUCAGAUGAGCCUAGGUCGGAUUAGCUAGUUGGUGGGGUAAAGGCCUACCAAGGCGACGAUCCGUAACUGGUCUGAGAGGAUGAUCAGUCACACUGGAACUGAGACACGGUCCAGACUCCUAAGGGAGGCAGCAGUGGGGAAUAUUGGACAAUGGGCGAAAGCCUGAUCCAGCCAUGCCGCGUGUGUGAAGAAGGUCUUCGGAUUGUAAAGCACUUUAAGUUGGGAGGAAGGGCAGUAAGUUAAUACCUUGCUGUUUUGACGUUACCAACAGAAUAAGCACCGGCUAACUUCGUG
rnacentral:rRNA from 1 species